UACGAGUGGUGCGAGCGUUAUUCGGAAUUAUUGGGCGUAAAGGGCGCGUAGGUGGUAUAUUAAGUCAACUGUUAAAUUCUUCGGCCUAACCGGAGACCUGCGGUAGAUACUGAUAUGCUUGAGGAUGGAAGAGAGAAGUGGAAUUCUUGGAGUAGCGGUAAAAUGCGUAGAUCUCAAGAGGAACACCAAUGGCGAAGGCAGCUUCUUGGUCCAUUUCUGACACUGAUGCGCGAAAGCGUGGGGAGCAAACAGG
rnacentral:rRNA from 1 species